AUGGGUGCCAGGCUCCUGCCCUGGGUGCUGCUCUGCCUCCUGGGAGCAGGCCCAGCAGAGGCUGGAGUCACCCAAACUCCAAGACACCUGAUCAAAGCAAGAGGACAGCAAGUGACAUUGAGGUGUUCCCCUGUCCCUGGGCACAACAGAGUGUACUGGUAUAAACAGGCCCUGGGUCAGGGCCUCCAGUUCCUCAUUGAGUAUUAUGAGGGGGCAGAGGGAGAAAAAGGAGACUUCCCUGAUCGAUUCUCAGGUCACCAGUCCCAUGACUAUCACUCUGGGCUGAACGUGAGCGCCUUGAAGCUGGAGGAUUCAGCUCUGUAUCUCUGUGCCACACUGCUGGUUCUGUGCCACCAACAUUCUGUGCACAAACUUCCUGGUUCAACUCUGAUGCCACAGCUGCAGGCUCAAGCCAAGUUUCACUCCUUCAAGGCUUUGGGUUGUUUCAAAGGCAUUUCCUGUGUCCAGCUCAGCUAA